AUGGCAGCCACCCGCGCGCGAGCGCCUCUUUUUCCCGCGUCGGUCGCCUCCCAGCCCGCGAACCUACUUCGUUUCCUUCUUAUCUCACCCCUCACCCGAGACCCUAGCAUCACAACUCCCUCUCCUGAUAGAAGAGGCGGCGACGGUGAUUUGGAUCGAGGCAGCGGCGCGAUUCAUCUUGGAUUCCGGUGCAGCGGAGGUGCAGAUCCUCCUUGUCCUCAUUCCCCUCUCUAUCCUCUCUGUUCUAUGCAUCUCCUGGACCACAAAGAGGAUGAGCCUUUUCUGAACAAGCCUCUCAAGCACUAUAAUGAGAUGGCUAUCAUUCAUGGCAAUACUAUGGCCACGGAUAAUGAGGCUUCCCCACUUGAAGAAGGUAGCAAGUCAAGCAAUGGAGGCGAUUCAGUGGCUCCCAAUCCCAAAAGGGCCAAAACAAAGUCUAGUGUUGAUAAGGGGCUGCAAUCAACCCUUAUGGCAGUGGGUGAAAGGCUUGCUAUUGCCAUAGAGAGGAGUGUUAGCACCGACAACAGCUCCGCGAGCAUCUCUACGAACAACUCUACGAACAACUCCAUGGUGGGCCUUUGGGAGGGCAUGAAAGAUAUUCCCUUUCUCGGUAUUGAUUACCUUGCCCAUUAUUUUGCCUACUUGGUUGAGAAUCCAAACAUUGCAAUGGCGUUUCAACUCUUGGAGAAGGACCAAAAGGGUAUUUGGGUUGCUAGGGGUAAGCUCACCACCUCAAACAAAAUGGUGAGUGUAGCAAUCAUCCACUCUUUCAUCCUCUCAACCAAACCCACAAAUGGUUAUCCCUAG
rnacentral:rRNA from 1 species